GACACAGACCUCUCAUGAAUUCUUUGCAAAGGAAAGUCCUGAGAGCGGCAGGCACCUGGCAGCUGUGACGAGUUUACCUAACGAGGGUGCAGACCUGCAGCAGCCCGAGCCUCCCUGCCAAAGGUCAGAGAGACUCAGUCCUCUCCCGGUGCUCACGGGAGCACGGGAGCCAGCAGCCGCAGCCUUCCUCCCCGAGCUGCUCUGCCUGCCCAGCCGUGGGGCGGCAGUGGGGCCACGCUGGCCUGGGGUACCCGGGGGUCCUGGCAUCCCGGCAGCUAACCCACGUGAAGUCGAACGGGGAGUCCAUUCAUUUUACACUGCUGAAGUCCCACCAGUGCAGCUGGGGCUGGUAUCAGCAGAAAACAGACUGCAAACAUCUCAGUCCAAAUACAGACCACAGAGGUGAAGUUACAGGUUGAAAGGAAGCGAAGGCACCAGUGCAUGCCCCCCCCACCCCCCGGCCGGGAGAUGCGCCAAAAAAACCUUGAACCUUUUCACUUGUUCCUCCGCAAGAAGCUUUGUGACCAGAGCGACGCCACGGGGCUGGGGGUCUUGUGAGUUCCCAGAAAAAUAGAUGCUGGGAAAAACAUUUAUAGACGGAGUCGGCGUGUGAGGGUUGUGGCCUUUGACUCCAACACCCCCGUCCUACCUCCUCCGAAUGGCCGGCACCCCGCUGCGCCGGGAUAUCUGCCGUGCUCCGGCUUCCCCAGAAACCCCUCCCGGCACCGUCAGACUGAUUUUGCUGGAGAUGCUCUCCGGAGAUGGGACAGCUCCUCGUGGGUCAUGUCCCGAUGCCGCGAUACCCACAGGGCACGUCCCGGAGGUUUGACUUUUGCCGGUUAAUUGUGUUCUGGAAGGAGCGGUGAGGAGCACGACUUCUGCAAAACGCCAGCGGACCUCCGGGCGGGUUCGGCCGCCGUGCUUGACCCGCCAUGGAGCUGCUUUCUCCAUCGGCCCUUUGCGGGGCCGUCCUGCGACGGCGAGGAGGGGACGGAGGCUCCCGAGCAAGGGCUGACGGCUGAGGUUGCCACCGCUGAAGAACGUAGGUCUUUGCCCUGGUUUCGGCUGGGAUAGAGUUAAUUUUCUAAGUGGUUAGUAUAGUGUUGUGUUU